AACGUAGGACACAAGCGUUAUCCGGAGUUACUGGGCGUAAAGGGCGUGUAGGCGGAUCGGUAAGUCUACUCUGAAAGCUCCUGGCUAAACUGGGAGAGGCGAGUGGAGACUGUCGGUCUAGAGUGAGGAAGAGGAAAGUGGAAUUCCGCGUGGUAGUGGUGAAAUGCGUAGAGAUGCGGAGGAACACCAGUGGCGAAAGCGGCUUCUGGUCCUUAACGUGAC
rnacentral:rRNA from 1 species